rnacentral:lncRNA from 1 species
UACUCAGUAUAUUUAGGCAUUAAUUAAUCACAAAAAUGAAUGAAUUAAUGGAUGUAAAACAUGACAUUUUAUGUCUUAUCAACACUUAUAGUGUAACUAGCUUAUUGCUACCAAGGAAAGAAGUGCGAAAGACCAGAAAGGGCAAAAAUCAAACUAGAAACAGGAGGAGAGAGGCUAAAUAAGACUUAAAGGAUGCUGCUACUAAACCCAAAGGUCCCC